CGCGGGGUAGAGCAGCUCGGUAGCUCGUCGGGCUCAUAACCCGGAGGCCGCAGGUUCAAAUCCUGCCCCCGCAACCA
rnacentral:tRNA from 1 species